AAAAAAAACUAACACUUGAGCUAGGGAUGUGACCUGGUUGGUAGAAUGUUGGCCUACCAUGCAUGAAGCCUUGGUUCAACCCUCCUGCACCACAUAAACCACAGUGUGAUGCAUGCCCACAGUCUCAACACUUGAAAGGACAAGCAGAAGUUCAAGGUCAUCCUUGGCUAUAUAGUAAGUUUGAGGCUAGCUUAGGUUACAUGAGACUGCAAUUCAUGAAUAAAAGUGAAAGCUAACAGUCAAGUUGGAAAUAUAGAUCAGUGGUAGCUAGUAUGCAUGAAAGCCUAGGUUCAAGUCCCAGUACUACAACAGUAAACAGUUUAAAGCUAAUACUUAGGCUAACCAUGUACCAGGAGCUAUGCGUAGUGAUUCCCAUGGGUCAUCUGACUUAGGUUUGAAGAAGUGACUGUAGCUAAUUCCAUACUGGAUUUAGAAUCACCAUGGAAACAGACUUCUGAAUGUGUCUCUGGGGGUGUUACCAGAAAGGUCUGACUAAAGUGAGAAGACCCACUCUGGAGGUAGGCUGUAUGUAUCCCAUGGGCUGAGGUCCUGGACUGAAGACAGUGAAAACAAGUAGAGCAGCGUCCCUCAUCUCUGCGUCCUCUCCUUGGACACAUUGUGGCCAGACUGCCUCCCAUUCCUGCCGUUGUGUGUCCUUCCAUGAUGUUCAAAAAAAUACAUUAAGCUAGGUGUGGUGGCACAUGCCUUUGAUUCCAGCACCCAAGAGGCUGAGGCAGCUCUCUCCAGGUUCCAAGCCAGCCAUGCCUACAUGAUAAGACCCCAUCUUAAAAAACAACAGCCAACAGAAAAGAAAAUACCACAAGGUAUCUGUCCGUUGAAGAUAACUGGAGACUACUGAGAAGACCAUUCUCACGUGCAACAUCCAUUUAUGAGAGUGUCUAUACUACGUGGACUCUAAGGUAAUGGAGCCAAGGACAAAUCACUCAUCUGGCCUCAGGGAGAGGCCAACCCUCCAUUCUGCAAGAUUACUACCCUGUAAUCACCCCCCCCACCCCCCACCCCAGUUCCUUAUUAUGCUGAUAGGAACCAGAGGGUUAGGCUGUACUAAAAGAAGGCUGAGGAAAUGAAACAGAAUCACACGUUUUCACUCCCUCUCCCACCCAAAGAAAGUUGCUCCCAGAUGCUCUGCCUGUUGUGCAGUUUCUGAUUCUAAAUGGUUCAAGGAGGAGGAGUUAGCCUGGGUGGUGCAAAGCCCUGUGGAAAAAGUCAUAGGAACAAAAGAAAGACGAGCCAGUGGAAAAGUCUGGGGGAGCAGGGUACUCCAAUAUUUCCUAGGUCAAGACACUAAGGCUCAAAAUAGUUAAAACACUAGGUCAGAAGUGGGUUCCCUUCCAUCCCUGCUCCUUGGAUUCCUGCCCUAUGUGUGGUGUUCACCUACAGUUGCCAAAGGUCUGCUGUUGCUUGUGAAAUAGGAGCCACUGUCUUCUCAAUCAGACUUCUUCCUCUCUUCCUCGACUUGCACAUGUCUCACGUCCAGGACCCAGAUCUGUUCUAUCAGGGCUUCUAUCAUCAAGCAUUCCAAACUUUAAAGGUAAUAUGCAAAAAGAAGUAUACUCAGAUGAGGGUACACUGUUAGUUACUUUAUUCUUGCUAUGACCAAAUUCCUGAUAAGCGAUGCAAGGAAGAAGGGUUAUUUUGGUACAGUGUUUGAGGGUAUAGUACACCAUGGCAAGAAAAGCACAGUGGCUGGUCAUAUCGCACCCUCAGUCAGGAAACAGGGAGAAAUGAAUGCUUGUACUCAGUUCACUUUCUCCUUUUUAUUCAGUCUGGGAUGCCACCCAUGCAGUGGUGCUGCUCACAUUCAAGAUGAGUUUUCCUUCCUCAGAGACACAUCCAAAGGUGUGUUUCCAUGAUGAUUCUAAAUCUAGUCAAAUUGAAAAUGAAGAUUGAAAAUCAGAAGAAUGGCAGACACCCCUUCCAAGUGAAGCAUUGUGGAUGGCCGUAUGAGGUGACCUGUGGUAUUUAGAAAAUGCAAAAGGAGGGCCAGCAA